GUCUUUUUAGUAUAAAAAUACAAAUGACUUCCAAUCAUUCAAUCUUAGCUGCCCUAAGAAAAGACA
rnacentral:tRNA from 1 species